GACACCCUUUGUGAAAUUUCUAGCUCCGCCACUGGAUAAGGAAACCUGAAGAGGCCAUGUUCUUAUUGCAACAAACAUUCAUUCUAAUUCAAUAAUGCAAUCAAAUUACUUUUACCUUCAUUGUCAUCGAGCUCUUGCAAGUAAUGAUCAGCAUCCAAGGCUUCCACACACCCUACACAAAUAUGAAGUUGAAAAGCAGAAGCAACUUAGAACCGUAAUUUUGCUAACAUUACGCUAUCUCGUUAUCUUGAGAGAACAGUGAAAAUCAAAGCUUCAAACGAAUCCACAUUGAAGAUAUAAAUGACAAACAUAGAUGGAAAAUGCAAGCACAGAAGCGCACAGGCGCAAUCCUUUGCAGUGUUACAUGAGAAACUUCGCAAUUUACAAAAGUUUCUUUUACUCUAGCACAUAUUGGCUGCCAGAACAAUAAGAUAUUAUUGAUACAAUUCUAAAUCAAGGCUUUACAAAUUAGAAAAGAAAAAAACACAUAUUCAUGGACCAUAUUUUGAUCUCGCCAAAAGCUUAAUAUAUGAAAAAGCUCUCAGACACUUAUCCCAAGACAAUUUCCUAGGGACCCUUCCGGUCCUUAGGAAGCCAUAAUCUGGUGAACUUCCUUUGCCGGAAAACCCAAUCCCUUUUUUUCUCUUCCUUAUUCUUUCUUUCCCAUGGAUAACAGAAUAUAUUUCAGACUUGGGGUCAAAUCAUACGAUAUUACUGUGUCUAGAAACACGAAAGGAAACUGGUUUGAGUGGGUAGAGAGUGCGAAACUACACUGGAGGAGAAUGAAGCUGAGCAGGGAUGCUUUAUUAUGGACAUGCAAAAGGCUAGGGGAGGCUUCUGGCAUUAAAGGCAAGUCAUUUAAGACUUGGAGAUGCAAGGACUUUUCUACCUACAUUUAUUGCUCUUUGAAGUUCAAUAAAUACGGUAGGUUCAUCUCAAUCAUUGCGGUUAAUGGCCAUGAACGUUCGGUGAUUAUUCUGCCAGAAAACAUCUUUAAUGAGGGCUGGGGUGGCCUAUCAAAAAAAAUUGAAAGCUUCGACAUUAAGGAGGCAGGACAUGUUACUGAGAAACAGAGGAAUUCUGCGUUUAUGAGGUUCAGGGGAGAGGAAAGUUAUAAGGAGGUCAUUCAAAAGAGCAAAUGGGGGGCCAUAUCUGAUAGGAGAGCAGAAAAUCAGAAGGAGACACUCUGUGAAGAAGAAGGGGUCCUUAGCAGAUGUCUGGUGGGAAGCUUCCCAGAGGAUGACGAAAUUCCCUCACGGAACGAAGUCAGAAGGUGGGCUAUUCAAACGUGGAAAGGCAUCCAUAAUGUCAACAUUUACGACAUGAAUGGUAUUCAGUUUCUUUUCGAGUUCCAGUCAAGAAAGGAAGCAGAGCAUAUUGUUAUGGGGAAGUGGAGAAGAAAGAAUCACCAUUUACAGAUGGAAUGGUGGUCACCCAAAGCAGGAACAACGCAAGCUGACUUCAAGUUUGAUUGGUUUUGGGUUCGGAUUCUAGGUCUUCCUCUACAUCUCUGGACAGACAAGGUGAUGAAACAAAUUGGUGACCAAUGUGGGGGGUGGUUGGAGACGGAGGAGGAAACCACCUUAAAAAACCAUCUCCGAUGGGCUCGAAUUAGGGUUAAGGGUCCUAGGGAGAAAAUUCCGACGGAAAUCGAGAUUGAAGAUGGAGAUGGCAUUUUUCUGCUACCAGUAUGGUGUGAAGCUCCGGCAAGAUUCAAAAAAAAGAAGGGGGAGAAGCACUCUGAUCGAUAUGUCAGAGGUUUGACAUAUGGGGAAAGUUCUCUGCAGAGGGGGACUCUUACGACAGAGAUGGAAGAGAGAUUAAGGAAAGGCAAAGAGAGCUUUUGUCCAGAAGUCAAUCACGAUGGGGGUUUUGUACCGCUGGAUAAAGGUGGGCACGUGACUUGUGAAAAUUCAUCUGGAAAAAGGCAUGUGGAGGCCCAGGCAGAGAGUCCGGGUCGAAUUUUAUCCUAUUCAAAGUGUAGUGGGGCUGGACCCAUUAACUUAGGCCCAAAAGCUACAAUGACCUAUUUUACAGAACCUUUUAUCGGGGAUAUUUUCAACAACAGAACCUAUACGGAGAAUUUCAUGACAUCUUCUACAGAGCUUGAAGAACUCAUGCAAGCGACUCAUAAUCCAUCGAACAACAUCACAAUUGAAAUCAUUGACAUGCAGCGUGCAAUUGAUCCUUCAGAGUAUGUGGAGGAGACAAUACUUCCCUUAGUUUGCGAGAAAAGGGUGAACACAGGGGAUGAUCAAGAAGUUUACACAGGAGAACCCUCCAAGAACCAAUUGGUAAUUCUGGACGAGCCUCUUCCUAUUGCCAGUGAUGACUCUCUCUCAGAGGAAGCCAUUGAUGACAGAGCUUCUUUAUGGGUGCAAGCGAAUGUCCUUAAACUUAGCAGAUUAUUUGGUGCUGCCUUCGAAGGAUGCGAUAAGACUGCUUUUGAAUUAUUUCUGAAAAUUGAUCAAAAGAGGGAAUUCCUCAAGCAAAAUACGGAGAAACACAUAAAUGGAAAUAACUCCAAUAACAUCCCAAAGGAAGUGAGGAAUUUGGCUUUUAAUGUGAGUUUUAAAGAUGGUGAACCUAGAAGUAGGGGGAGAAAAACAACUUCAAGUGAUCAAUGUUUAAAGUUGUAACAUGGAAUGUUAGGGGGGCAAACAAUGAGAAUAAAAGAAGAUUAAUUCGGAGUCUACUUCAACAGUGGGGUGCAAAUAUAUACGUGCUAGUGGAAACAAAAUUGACAGAAGCAGAUACACAAUUGAUCAAACAAUUGUGGUUCAACCGAUGGCUGGGAGAACUACACUUAGAGGCUGUGGGGAGAAGUGGGGGUAUAGCAGUGUUAUGGGACAGAAGAAUGUGGAAAGGUGAAUUGGUGGAGGCUUCUGGGCAAGUAAUCACAUGUAAAUUUGAAGGCAUUAGAACAAUGGUGGAUGCAAGUAGAAGGUUUCAGGGAGAAGGUAAAGGAUUGGUGGUGCUCCUUCUCAGUAAAUGGGACCCCCUCUUUUAUCCUAGCUUCCAAACUGAAGUUACUGAAAGGGAAGUUAAAACAAUGGGGAUAUGAGAACAGAGUCAACUGGAAACAAAAGAAGGAAGAGAUACUCAAUCAAAUUGCUGGUCUGGAAAAGAUACAAGAGCAGAGAAUAUUGACUGAUGAUGAACUCCUUCAAAAAGUUCAUCUAUCUAGGGAGUUUGAUGAAGCUUCCAGGAGUGAGGAGAUAGCUUGGUGACAAAGGUCAAGAAUUCAAUGGCUUAAACAUGGAGACAAGAACACCAAGUACUUCCAUAGGAUGGCCACAGCACACAAAAGAAUAAACUCAAUUGAAAAACUGGAAGUAAAUGGCAGAGAGUUGACUGAUACUGAUGAGAUCAAAACGGAGAUUACUAAUUUCUAUCAGAAACUAUACAGAGAAACUGAGAAUUGGAGGUCUGGUCUAAACUUACAAGGCAUUGAAAGCAUCAGUUUGGAGGAGAAGGAUUGGUUACAAAGACAGUUCGAGGAAGAAGAAGUGGCAGAAGGAAUCAAAUUGUGUGCAAGCGACAAAGCCCCUGGCCCUGACGGGUUUCCUAUGAGCUUUUAUCAGAACUUUUGGGAGAUGCUCAAGGUAGAUAUCAUGAAUACCAUCAGACAAUUUCAUGAUCAGCAGGUCUUUGAGAAGAGCUUGAAUGCCACAUUUGUGGCUCUUACCUCGAAGAAUACAGAGGCAAUUGAGCUUAGGGACUUCAGACCCAUAAGUUUGAUAGGCGGGGUAUACAAAAUUAUAGCUAAGCUGCUAGCUGAGAGGUUGAAGAAAGUAAUAAACAAACUGGUAAACAAACAUUCAGAUGGCAUUCAUAAAAGGCAGACAGAUCAUGGAUGCUGCCCUUAUUGCUAGCGAAUGUGUAGAUACUAGACUCAGAGGGGUUGACUCUGGAGUUAUGUGCAAGCUAGACAUUGAGAAGGCAUAUGAUCAUGUCAACUGGUAGUUUUUGCUCAAUAUGUUAAAACAAUGGGGUUUGGUGAGAGAUGGUUGAGAUGGAUUGAGGUUUGUAUAAAAACUGUUAGGUUCUCCAUUCUGAUAAAUGGAGAACCUACCGGUUUUUUUCCCUCAGAAAGAGGUCUCAGGGAGACCCUUUGUCCCCUUUCCUUUUCAUCAUAGUCAUGGAAGGAUUCGAUAGUAUGAUGAGGGUGGCUAUUCAAAACUCAUUGUUGCAAGGAUUCAAAGUAGGCAAUUUCUCAGGGGUGGAUAUGCAAAUUUGUCACUUGCUUUAUGCUGACGACACUGUCAUAUUUUGUGAAGCUAAGGAGGAACAAAUUAGAAUUGUCAGAAUGAUAUUGGUAGUCUUUGAGGCGGUCUCAGGCUUGGCAGUCAAUUGGAGGAAGAGUUGUAUAUAUCCCAUCAAAGAGGUGACACAGAUCCAGGCCUUAGCAAACAUUUUGGGGUGCAGAAUUGAAAAACUCCCAACUGUUUACCUAGGUAUGCCACUUGGAAACAACCAUAAAGAGCUAGUGAUAUGGGAUGGUAUAAUUGAAAAAACUGAGAAGAAACUGGCAAACUGGAAAUCUCAAUAUCUAUCCUUCGGUGGGAGAACCAUUCUGAUAAACUCUGUACUAGACUCUUUACCUACCUAUGUGAUGUCCCUAUUCCCUAUGCCGGCCAAAGUGGAAGAAAGACUUGAUAAAUUAAGGAGAGAUUUUCUUUGGUCGGGAAUCAAGGAAGGUAAAAGAAUACAUCUUGUCAAAUGGCAAACUGCUUUGCUGAGUAGAAGCUCAGGGGGGUUAGGGAUCAGAAACUUGGGGCUACAAAACAAGUGCUUGUUGGCAAAAUGGUUGUGGAGGUUCGGAAGAGAGGAUCAAGCACUUUGGAAGGAAGUUAUCAGUAACAAGUAUGGCCAGAAUAGCCCAUGGGUUUCCAAUAUGGUGAAUAUCCCGUAUGGUGUCUCGGUGUGGAGAACUAUCAGAAAUUUAUGGGGUCAACUACAACACAAUAUUAGAUACAAAGUGGGGAAUGGGACCAGGGUUCUUUUCUGGAAAGAUCACUGGAUUGGUCAGGUUUCCUUGAUGUCUUCCUAUCCGGAUAUAUAUAUCCUCAGCUCAUCUCAAGAUGCAAUGGUAAAUGAGGUAUGGUCUGAACAAGGAUGGAAUUUCAGCUUCAGAAGGUUACUAAAUGACUGGGAGAUAGGGAGAGUAGCCGAGAUGCUACAAACACUAGAUGAUUUCAAGGGCACAAAUCUGGAAGUUGAUGUAAUGAUUUGGAAACACAAUCAUGAUGGUAUGUUGUCAGUCAGCAGAUUGUACAAUAGGAAAGUGAAGGAACUUCCAGGGGAAAUCUCUGGACCAUGGAGUAAGGUAUGGAAAAAUAAAGUGCCAACUAAAGUGCGGUGUUUCUCAUGGCUAGUGGCUAGAAGGGCAUGCCUAACUCAUGAGAAGCUGCAAAGAAGAGGCUUUGAAAUAGCUUCCUGGUGUUCACUGUGUAAUGAGACAAAUGAGACUAAUAGCCAUCUAUUCCUCCAUUGCAAAGUCACUGCUCAAUUAUGGGCCAUUUUUCUUAGCAGAACACACACAAACUGGACAAUGCCAGAACACACUGCAGACCUUCUUAGUUGCUGGGUGAGAAGAGGGGGGAGUAAGAGCCAGAAGAAAUGGUGGAACAUGAUACCCUCUUGUAAAUGGUGGACUAUUAGGAGAGAAAGAAACAAGAGGUGUAUGGAAAAUACUGCAGAAUCAGUACAAAAGAUCAAAAUGGCGUUGUAUGAAGACCUUCUGUUUUUGGUGUAAUGAGGAGGGUAUAGAGGAUGCUGGACAGAUUUUAAAAUUUUUUCUCUUCUUUAUAAGUUUAGUAACAAUUUCUUGAGUUGGUCUUUUUUUGGGUCACUGAUGUAAAUCUUUUUGAUGGUUGCCAGCAUACCCUCAUUGCUGAAGAAUACAACUUUACUUUAUCAAAAAAAAAAAAAAAUUUGAUCUCGCCAGCACAGAGACUGUCAUAGUAGAAGUAUGUGAGAUACACCUAAUAGACAUGCAGUAGACAUGGCCAACCAAGCAAACCAACUUCAUUUCUGGACCAAGCAAACCAAUAAUGAACAAAGAUUAAACCAAAUUUGGAUCACUAACCUGUGCCAGCAUGUGUGACGGUUUUGCCCAUACACUUUUUAUCUUGAAUAUAACCAGUAACAAAAAACGCCGCUGAUGCUAGUCUAUAUUGUCCUUGGCAUAGUUACCACAUACAGUCAAAACCGAACUGCAAAAGAAGAACAAUCUGAAACCUACAGCAAUCACUUUUCAACUUUAAGUCAUCCUGUCAGCCUAUUCUCCC
rnacentral:lncRNA from 1 species